GACGAACGCUGGCGGCGUGCUUAACACAUGCAAGUCGAACGGAAGGACCCGGCGUUUGUGUGUUUCUCGAGUGGGGAACGGGUGAGUAACACGUGAGUAAACUGCCCUUGACUUUGUGAUAACUUCAGGAGACUGGGGCUAAUACCGGAUAGGAGCUCCUGCUGCAUGUUGGGCAUUGGAGAGUGUCGGCGGUUGGGGAUGGACUCGCGGCUUAUCAGCUGCUUGGUGGGGUAGUUGCUGACCAAGCCUUUGAAGGGUAGGCGGCCUGAGAGGGUGAGCGGCGACCUUGGGACUGAGGUACGGUACAGACUGCGAAGGGAGGGAGCAGUGGGGAAUAUUGCCCUAUGGGCGGAAGCCUGAUGAAGCAACGCCGCGUGCGGGAUGACGGUCUUCGGGUUGUAAACCGCAUUCGCCUGUGACGAAGCGUGAGUGACGGUAAUGGGUACAGAAGCCCCGGCUAACUACGUG
rnacentral:rRNA from 1 species